UUCCGGCCGGCGCAGACCCUCUUCAGCGGCUGGGCUGCCCUUCACUUCCGCCGGGCGUUGCUGAGCGCGCUGCCCGCGAGAUGCGGGCCCCUGAGUCACUGUUGUAGGUCAAGAUGAACACUAAACCAACAGUCUGUCAGGCUGGGCUUUUGACAUGGUUUAUUUCCUCCUGAAACUCAUCUGUUGCUGUUUCUUCUGCCAUGUCUUCCUGCUAAGGGGAGACCUGUGAAAGGGUCAGGGGUUGCUCUAGAGCUACCAUUUCUGCUAACAACUUGCAUCUACUCCUGAGAAGCCCAGCUCUACCACACUGGUGGAUCAGAUAUUCUAGCCUGUCCAAGACUGGAUGGGAUACACCAUUCUAAAUCUGUUGGUACUCAGGAAUCUUGGGAAACUGGUACCCCUGCCCAGAGCCCUCUCACCUCUAUGGGGAUAUACAGCAUGAAGCCUGGCUCUCCCGUGUGCGUCAUACUCAUCACCCGGAUCCCAUUUGCAUAGCCCACACUCAUCUCCUACAAAGAAAAGGAAAGCAGUCAGUACUCGUCCCUCCUGACAGUCAAGAGACUGAGUCCCGAGGGGAGCCUGUCAGUACCCACCCUAUGUUAACCCUGGAAGAGCUACAACCAAGGAAAGCAUCUCUCUUUACCAGCUCAUGCUAAAACAUUGAGUUAGCCAAGCAGCGUUAGGAACAAUGAAGACCAACCAAGUGUUUUCUCUGGAGGACUCUGUAAGACACAUAAAGGACAAUGCCUGCAGAAUACAAUUCAUGCACUCUGGGACCAAAAGCUCAGUUUCUAGUGUUACAGCUGCUCAGUCGCCUUGAAAGGGUCACUGAUAUAAUACUGCUCUAUGAAGGGAAGUGUAAGGCCAAGCAAGACAGCACUGAAACAAUUCCACAUGAAUUCUGACAAGGCAUUUGACAGUCAGGUUGGAUCAUUUGUAAAGUACAGAGAAGACUGUAGAGGGAUCUGUUCACCAACAUGGAAGUUUUCUGUUGUUUUCUCUGCUUGGGAGAGCAGGAAAUCAUUAAACAAUCUGCUCUAAAAAUCUCCACUUGGGUUUAAACUUCCAAGUUUCUCCAUGCAUGGUGCAUGUCCAAAGUGGCUGUGUGACUGCUUCCUGCAAAGCGCUCAGUUAUUCAGUGUAGUGUGUGCCAAGCAACUAGUUGUGUGUUGUCUAGGGUUCAGCUAUCAAUAUACUAUGAGAAUAAAAACAAAACAGCAAAUGCAAGGAGAAAAAACAUCUGACCUCAGUGUGCAUUUACUGUCACCUUAAGUUUAAUUCAGGCGCUAGAGAAACCAAUAAGUACACAUACCUGACAUUCAAAGACAUUAAGUAUACUUCAGGGAAUACCCUAAUCCUUACUAAAUAAAGCAGACUUGGAAGUAAAAAAUAAAAGUUGCUUGGUCAUUUUGCUUGCUUAAUAAAGGUCAAAACACUGUUUAAGUAUUAACACCAUAUUAAGAAUAUGAACCUGCCAUCACUAUAAAAGAAACAUAUUUAACAUUUAAAAAAACAGAACUGCUAAGAAUGUGGCUCAGUUGGCAGACUGCUUGCCUAGCAUGCAUGGAGCCAUGGGUUUGAUUCUCAGCACCAUAUAAACCCAUUACACACACACACACACACACACACACACACACACACACACAGACACACACCCGCAUUCCCAGCACUUGAGCAAGCUCGCAAGUGUAAGGUCAUGCCCAGCUACAUAACAAGUUUGAGACCUGCAUGCACUACAUGAGACACUGAUCACAAACAAUAAAUGACUAGCACCUACCUUGCAGAAGAGCGUUGGAAAGUGAUCUGGAGUCAUAGGGGCAUAGGACAGCUCAGAUAGCACAUCCACGGCUCGAGGGCCAAUCAGAUUGAGGGCUAUAGGGUAAAGAACAAGAGAUGUCCAGCCUCUCCAGAGAACAGCCUCUUCUGACCGUGUCCACUGUCCCCGGUUCUUUACCUGCUACUGUCAUGAAUACACUGACAACGUAAACGAUAGUUUUCUAGUUUAUAGUUCAAAGUCGGUCCAUCCACGGCGGGCAGUAAUUUCCCAUAGGCAAGUACAUUUAUCUCCCAGGUGAUUAACUAACCACCAUAUUUACACAGGACCUGGUCUACAGCUGAUGAGAUAUAAAAAAUGGCCCUUUAUUUAGGGUCCUGAGGUUCAAUGGUAAGUACCUGGGCUCUGGCCCCCAGUCCACUGACAGAGCUGCUGAACGCAGCUGCUGACUGUGUGUGCUGGUGUGGUUCUUGCAGUGCACAAGAAGGGUGUAUUUUAUAGUCUCCUCUGCAGAAGAUUAGGAUCGAGACCAAGACCUGACCAAGAGGUCACUUCCAGGGCUGGCCAUACACCAAGCACUAUAGUUCAUCUUCCUACAUGAUGGAAGUGAUCCCCAUCACAAAACAGUGUCUAGAGAACUGUCUCUCCACCCUAGGCUCUGUUCCUUUGACAGAACUACACAUAACUGCUCUAGUACAGGCUAGAAGACAACCAGUAUUCAGUAAUAUUCUACACUUUGCCAAGCUAGCAGCAAGAAGCUAAUCAUGCUUUCUGCUAACGAGAGAGAAUGAAGUCCUUGGUGAGAUGAGCGGUUAAUAAGAUGAGUGCAAGUCACUUUUCUCCUUCCACUGUGGUUCCAGGGAUUGGAACUGAAUAAAUAAAUUGAAUGGACAAUUA
rnacentral:lncRNA from 1 species